ACUUUCUCCUAGUGUAAAUAUUAAAGUAGGACUGCUCGGUAAUGGGCGAUGAAGAGGAGCCAUAUUUGUUGCAUUUGUUGCAUGCAUAAAAAUCUAGAUAUGCUUAAAACGGAACAGUAUUUUAAUGUUGUAUUUUGGUUUUUAAAAAUUUUACAGAGUGCUCUAUGUAAUCUAUUAAUCUAAAAAAUUGAGAGGAAAUUUAAAUUUAGUGUUUGAACACAGGCCACAAAUGCAUAAACCUUUGUGUAUUUUAGAAUAUAUUUGUCUUUAUUCUGCGGUAGCUCUUGUUUUGUAGAGGUGCAGAUCUACGUAAAAAUUGUGUUGGGCAGAUUUUCGUAGUAUUUAUAAAAUUGAAGCUACUGGUGUAAUGGACUAGGUUUCUGAGGGUAUUUUUGUCAGUGAAAUUGUUUUAUUUUCGAAUAGCAUUCAUAUAGUGUUACAUGUUAAAUCAGUUGCGCAUAUCUUGAUUUUACAGGCUCUGUUGUUUUAAGUAAUAAUUUGUGGUUUUGCAAGUCAACAUUUUUGAAAUUUUUAAAUGCUUCAAGUAGUUUUAAAUUAAUAUUCUGAAUCUAGUUUUUCAGAAUCCUCUUGAAUAGCAAAAUGCAAAAUAAUUACUGGCAGUUUAACCUCAUAAAUUUUUUUUUACGUGAGAAAAGGGGGAAGGGAGAGACUGAAUGUGGUCUAGACCCUAGUUUGAAAUUGAAUAAAGGUCAUAGAUACUACAUGUUUUAGAUUUGCGUUAAAGACAAAGCUAAUAUCUCACUUGGUGAGAUCAAAUAACUGUGGUUUAAAAAUUUAAAGUAACCAGUGGCCAUUUUAACUUCACUAAAUUCUCCUGGAGGAGUUAAUUUUUAAUCACUCAUAAUUGUAAAAUGUAUUUCUAGAUGGUAAAGGAAAUUUUAGGAUGAUUAAGAUGAUUUCAGUCUUUAAAAAUGGUAAACUUUUCCUUUGUUUUUGAGCAUUGCUUGUCAUCAAAAGAAAAAUAAAAAUGAAAACAAGGUCAUAAUUUUAAAUCUGUCCAAAGAUAGGAAUUUUUUUCUCUUUUUAAUCUUAGUACCUUAAUCUCUAGUGAUUGUCCAUGCAACCAAAAGAUGGGGAAAACAGAGACUGAUAGAUACAAAGAUAAGAAAUAACUGCUAUCUUAAAUGUACAGGUAGUGUGUUAAUGAGCUAUCUCUUGAAUUUGUCCAUUGAUCGUGUCUCAGAAAUAUUUUCUCAUUGUUUCAUCACACUGAAACUUUGGCCAAGAAAUGUUUAAAAUUCAAAGCAUUGAUAUCAAUUUCCCCCCCCUUUUUUUUUAAAGGCAACUUACAAGAUUAAAAUUAAAUUUGGUUGAUGAUGGUUCUGGACAAAUACAGCUCUUUUAUUUGAGGUAAGACUGGGUGAAUUUUUAUUACUUUGUCAUAAAAUGACUGAGUACAUUAAAUAUCUGAAAUAAUUUUACAAAAUCUUUAAACCGUUUCAUUGAAUGAAAAGCGUUAUAUGCAUAGCCAUUGUAACUUAAAGUGCCUUUUGAAUAGUUUGAAAUAAUGAAGGUCCUUUAAGCCUUUGUUUAAUUUUGGGAACAAGAAAAGACUGAUUAUAUAUACUUUGAUUAAAAUUGUAAGCCAAAGAUACGCUUUUUUUUUUUUUUUUUUGCUAUCUAAUAUAUUGUGUAAACAAUUUUAAUCUCUAAAGUGUUUAAAGAAGUAAAUUUAUUGGAAAAUUUAAGCUAGUUAUUCAUACUAAUAGAUUUUAGAGAAAAAGGUUUUAAAAAUCAGGUUUUCUGAGCAUAGAUUUGAUUUUGUUUCUUUUAUAUAAUAAAAAGUUUUAAAACACUUAUUCCUGCUUGCUUUUGGUUGUUCCAACAAUAAGUCGUUCAGAAUAUUGUUUUUUUUUUCCUCCAAAAGGUAUGCCAUUUUGAAGACAGACCCGUGGAAUUUUAUCCUUGAGGAUAGGGGAAAUCUUUGUGAAAGUCUGUAUUUUAUAAAGCAAUGCAACAUAAAUUGUGUACUCAUUAUCUUGAGAAAGGGAUGAGAAAAAGCCCAUCAAAUUCUUUACCUUACAUCAAAGCAGUUUUGUGUUAAAACAUUAAAACAGUUGAUACAUGUAAUUUGUAACAGAGCGAUGAGACAUUUGAUGUUUUUCAAUCAAAUGGUGCUUUAGGGUUAUGGUUAAAUCAAUAGUUGAGUCAUCAGAAUUAUGUAUCUUUACAAUCUGAAAUGUACAUUCUGUAGACAUUUUUUUGUGAUGCAGAUUACAAAUGACCUAGAAUUUUGUAGUUGCAGCUCUUAUGAUUCUAAGGAACUAUAUUUCAAAAGCUAAAUACACUUUCAUAUUCUAGUUAUUAUGUAGUGAAUUUAAAAUUCUGAUUUUUUUUUUGUUUUUAUGAGUUCGCUUUCAAAUAGGCACAAAAAUAAGUAAGUUAUCUGAUAGGAAACUAGAAUAAUACGGCUGAGGAGACCUUGAAAAAUGUAGCUUAGUCUUUUUAAAGCAUAAGAAGGAAGAAAUAAUUUCAACAUAUGUGUGAUGUUUUGACAUCUUAAAGCUAGACAUAUGAAUGAAAAAAUAUGUACAAUGAAAAUUUUCAGGAAUUAUUUCCUACUCUUAAGUUAACACUAAAUGUGGAAAUAAAUGCCAAGCCAAUAUUAGCAAGGGAUUUACCAGAGGAAAUAUGUAAUAUAAUGAGAUAUCUUGGGAAAUUUUAAGAAUAGCCAAAUAACCAACUAGUUAACAUGAGGGCAGGUUUACCUUUGUGCUUGUAAUUUUUGUGGAAUAUCUUUUAUCUGUUGUUGUUGACUUAUUCUGUUGAUACAAAUAGGUGAUAAAAAGUAUUAUUUUUUUUACCUUUGCUUUAGCUUAAUUUUUGCCUUUCAAUCCUUUUGCAAUUUGACCAAAUUUGUGUUUAUUAUAGUGUGCAAAAGGAAACCAAAUGUUAGACCUUUAUACUUUUAAAAGAUGUAGCAUAUAUAGAAAAGUCAGUAUCUUUCAUCCUAAGUUUCUUUAAUACAAAUGUCAAGUUUAGGGUUUUCUCUGUGUAAAUGAUUGGAUAUUGGAUUGGCAUUCAGAUGUGGUUAGGCAUUGCUAUAAAAAUUGAGAAUUGAGCCUCUUAAGACACAAAUAUAUUUGAAGUUUAAUGUAAAUUUAAGCAUAAAUUGACAGUAAAUUUAUAAUCGCCUACCAGAGGUAUAAUUUGAC
rnacentral:lncRNA from 1 species